AUGUGACCUCAAAUCAGGUAGGACUACCCGCUGAACUU
rnacentral:rRNA from 1 species